rnacentral:rRNA from 1 species
GUCCACGCCGUAAACGAUGAGAACUAGGUGCAGCGGAUAUUGACCUCUGCUGUGCCGUAGCUAACGCGUUAAGUUCUCCGCCUGGGGAGUACGGCCGCAAGGCUAAAACUCAAAGGAAUUGACGGGGGCCCGCACAAGCAGUGGAGCAUGUGGUUUAAUUCGAAGCAACGCGCAGAACCUUACCAGGGCUAGAAAAACGGAGAAUCCUGACGAAACUCGGGAGUGCUCGCAAGAGAACUCCGGUCCAGGUGCUGCAUGGCU